UUUAUUUCUGGGCUAUUGGGAAUGUGUGUUCACCACAUGUGGAUUGGCAGUGUUGAGAAUCAGAGGAGUGAUGAUUUUCCUUUUUGAAUUUUCUCCAUUUUUCUCUCACCUCAACAAUUCUUUUCAUUGAAUUCUUUUCAUUGCUUGUUGUAAUGCUCAGAAUCCUCUGAAAAUUCCACUGAAAUUCCCAGCAAAUCUGCCAUUCCUGAAAUUAAGAACUGGCAAAAAAAAAAAAUGUAAUGAGUCAUAAAAUUGUUCUCCCAGAAUGCAGAACUUAAUUAAAUCUGGGCUAAUCACUCAUUUGGAAAUUCCACACUCAUUCCACACUGUUGGAAAAUGAGAAUGAGGUCAACUUCCAGUGGUCUCCAACUCAUCCAGAGACUCCAUAAAAAGUCCUUAAUUACCCUGGAAUUACUCAUCUCUAAUUGUUUUUUGUCUUCAUGGUGCUUGGGAUUUAUUUUCUCAGUAUUAGCUAAAUAGAUUUAAUUAGUUUAUCUACCUAAAUGUAAUUUAAAGUGGCUUUUGUAACUUUCUUAGGUCAUUAAAUACCAAAAAAGAGAGAGAUAAUGGGGCAGUGCUUGGAUCUCAUCAUUGUUUUCCUGGGCUUGGAUGCAACCUAGCCUUGCCUGUGGAAUUUGGAAAUGCAGAGAGCAAUUAGGAUCAAUUAUUGCAAUUAGAGAGAUGUUUCAACAGGAAGGUUCCAGGCUCCAAAAACAAUCCCUGGGGAGCAGCAGGGCAGGGAUGCCAAGGCUCCUGGAACACCUGGAAUUUCAGAGCCUUGCACUUUGGCUCUGGGCUGCAGCCAUGGAGCAGAUUGGGGGCUCAGCUCAGGCACUUUGGGGCUGUUUUCAUGGAAAAAUGGGAAUCCUUCAGGAUUUAUUCCAGCUCACUCUGAUGAGGAUCCAGAGAUUUUAA
rnacentral:lncRNA from 1 species